rnacentral:rRNA from 1 species
AAUAUUGCACAAUGGGGGAAACCCUGAUGCAGCGACGCCGCGUGAGCGAAGAAGGCCUUCGGGUCGUAAAGCUCUGUCCUAAGGGACGAAACGGCCGGUACCUUAGGAGGACGCCCCGGCUACCUACGUGCCAGCAGCAGCGGUAACACGUAGGGGGCGCGCGUUAUCCGGCAUUAUUGGGGGUAAAGGGUGCGUAGGCGGCUUUUUAAGUCAGAUGUGAAAGGCUUCGGCUUAACCGUAGUUAGCAUUUGAGACUAAAAGGCUUGAGUGCAGGAGAGGAGAGUGGAAUUCCUAGUGUAGCGGUGAAAUGCGUAGAUAUUAGGAGGAGCACCAGUGGCGAAGGCGACUCUCUGGACUGCAACUGACGCUGAGGCACGAAAGCGUGGGGAGCGAACAG